UCUGUACAACAGCAGCAACGAUAAAGGCUCAGCUGAUUUCUUCUAAAAGGGGGAAGCACUCUCACCACAAACGAGAAGGAAAAAGAUUGCAAAAAAGGAGAGCAGCCAUGUCUGCUUUGGAGACUGCUAUUGAUCAACAUCCCCCAAGGCAGACCAUUAAUUUGGGGAGACCUGCAUCUUCAAGAGCAAAAGUCUCUUCUGAGCAGCUAAACUACCUAAAGCUUUUUUUGAUUUGAAAGAGGACUGGGAGCUGCGAGAUUAUUGGCG